AACGAACGCUGGCGGCAUGCCUAACACAUGCAAGUCGAACGAGACCUUCGGGUCUAGUGGCGCACGGGUGCGUAACGCGUGGGAACCUGCCCUUAGGUUCGGAAUAACUCCCCGAAAGGGGUGCUAAUACCGGAUAAUGUCUUCGCCAAAGAUUUAUCGCCUUUGGAUGGGCCCGCGUUGGAUUAGCUAGUUGGUAGGGUAAAAGCCUACCAAGGCGACGAUCCAUAGCUGGUCUGAGAGGAUGAUCAGCCACACUGGGACUGAGACACGGCCCAGACUCCUACGGGAGGCAGCAGUGGGGAAUAUUGGACAAUGGGCGAAAGCCUGAUCCAGCAAUGCCGCGUGAGUGAUGAAGGCCUUAGGGUUGUAAAGCUCUUUUACCCGGGAUGAUAAUGACAGUACCGGGAGAAUAAGCUCCGGCUAACUCCGUG
rnacentral:rRNA from 1 species